UAUAGAUUUGAUGUGUCGAAGCUGGAGCCUGUGGUAGCCAAGCCUCAUUCUCCUGACAACCGGGCUCUAGCAAGAGAAUGCAAAGAUGUGAAAAUU